rnacentral:rRNA from 2 species
UCAGCGACUGGGGUGAAGUCGUAACAAGGUAGCCGUAGGGGAACCUGCGGCUGGAUCACCUCCUUUCUAAGGA